rnacentral:rRNA from 1 species
UGGGGAAUAUUGCACAAUGGGCGCAAGCCUGAUGCAGCCAUGCCGCGUGUGUGAAGAAGGCCUUCGGGUUGUAAAGCACUUUCAGCGAGGAGGAAGGUGGUGAGCUUAAUACGCUCAUCAAUUGACGUUACUCGCAGAAGAAGCACCGGCUAACUCCGUGCCAGCAGCCGCGGUAAUACGGAGGGUGCAAGCGUUAAUCGGAAUUACUGGGCGUAAAGCGCACGCAGGCGGUUUGUUAAGUCAGAUGUGAAAUCCCCGGGCUCAACCUGGGAACUGCAUUUGAAACUGGCAAGCUAGAGUCUCGUAGAGGGGGGUAGAAUUCCAGGUGUAGCGGUGAAAUGCGUAGAGAUCUGGAGGAAUACCGGUGGCGAAGGCGGCCCCCCUGGACGAAGACUGACGCUCAGGUGCGAAAGCGUGGGGCAGCAAACAGGAUUAGAUACCCUGGUAGUCCAGCGCUGUAAAACGAUGUCGAUUUGGAGGUUGUGCCCUUGAGGCGUGGCUUCCGGAGCUAACGCGUUAAAUCGACCGCCUGGGGAGUACGGCCGCAAGGUUAAAACUCAAAUGAAUUGACGGGGUC